rnacentral:rRNA from 1 species
GAUGAACGCUAGCGACAGGCUUAACACAUGCAAGUCGAGGGGCAGCAUAGAAGUAGCAAUACUUUGGUGGCGACCGGCGCACGGGUGAGUAACGCGUAUGCAACCUACCUAUCAGAGGGGAAUAACCCGGCGAAAGUCGGACUAAUACCGCAUAAAACAGGGGCACCGCAUGGUGAUAUUUGUUAAAGAAAUUCGCUGAUAGAUGGGCAUGCGUUCCAUUAGGUAGUUGGUGAGGUAACGGCUCACCAAGCCGACGAUGGAUAGGGGAACUGAGAGGUUGGUCCCCCACACUGGUACUGAGACACGGACCAGACUCCUACGGGAGGAAGCAGUGAGGAAUAUUGGUCAAUGGGCGAGAGCCUGAACCAGCCAAGUCGCGUGAAGGAAGAAGGAUCUAUGGUUCGUAAACUUCUUUUGCAGGGGAAUAAAGUGCAGGACGUGUCCUGUUUUGUAUGUACCCUGAGAAUAAGGAUCGGCUAACUCCGUGCCAGCCGCCGCUGUAACAC